UCAGUAGCACAUACACUAAAAAAAAAAAACAUUGAACGAUACAGAGAAGAUUAGCAUGGCGCCUGUGCAAGGAUGACGCAAAUUCAUCAAGCAUUUCACAUUAAA